GACGAGGAUCGCGGCGGGUGAGGAAGCAGCGCAACGAGCGGCAGGAUUGUUUCUCCGACUAACCACCAGCGACACGAAGAGUUAUAAUCAUCCAUUGGAUAUAUACACCUAAUAUUGUUACUUCCCAAAACUAAAAUAAUAUACAUACUUAUAUUAUUAUA